UGCCAGCAGCCGCGGUAAUACGUAGGUGGCUAGCGUUAUCCGGAUUCACUGGGCGUAAAGCGCGUGCAGGCGGUUCCGUAAGUCGGACGUGAAAGCUCCUGGCUUAACUGGGAGAGGUCGUUCGAUACUGCGGGACUUGAGGUUGGGAGAGGGACGUGGAAUUCCCGGUGUAGUGGUGGAAUGCGUAGAGAUCGGGAGGAACACCAGUGGCGAAGGCGGCGUCCUGGCCCACACCUGACGCUGAGACGCGAAAGCGUGGGGAGCGAACGGGAUUAGAUA
rnacentral:rRNA from 1 species